GAUGAACGCUGGCGGCGUGCCUAACACAUGCAAGUCGAACGGACAUUUUUUUGGAAAGCUCUUCGGAACUGGAAUCUAAAUAUUAGUGGCGGACGGGUGAGUAACGCGUGAGCAAUCUGCCUUUCAGAGGGGGAUAACAGCCGGAAACGACUGCUAAUACCGCAUAAGCCCACAGCUCGGCAUCGAGCAGAGGGAAAGGAGUGAUCCGCUUUGAGAUGGCCUCGCGUCCGAUUAGCUGGUUGGUGAGGUAACGGCCCACAAGGCGACGAUCGGUAGCCGGACUGAGAGGUUGAACGGCCACAUUGGGACUGAGACACGGCCCAG
rnacentral:rRNA from 1 species